GUCACUGUCUCAGAAAGGUCUACAGUAAGAGGUAGUUGAGAACCAAGCCGGCAGUCUCCCAGGAACAGACAACACUCGAAAUGGGUGACAUUUGUUGUAAGAAAGACUAGACAGACUGGUAUUUGUGGACCCAAAAAUGAUGCUGCCUGCCAGCAUGCAGCCACAAAAGCUUGCAAGUAUUCCAGAUGAUAUUGCUACUCUAUUUCCUAAAUUGGAAUGUCCUAGGUGUCACAGCAGAGAUUGCAUGAUUUCGGGGCUCAGCUCCUGCUUGGUCUUAUUCAGUGUCCUCUACGUUGAUGCCAUCUUCUGUCCCCACAUGGAGCUUCAUGGGAA
rnacentral:lncRNA from 1 species